ACACCUCAACUCUCAUGGCUUGCCAUGAUGAGCUUGGACUUUGGGGGUCUUGCUGGCCUGUGUGGUCGGCUCCUCUCAAAUGAAUCAGCUUGCCAGUGUUUGGUGGCAUCACAAGUGUGAUAACUAUCUACGCUUGCGGUUUCCCACCAGGUAACCUUCAGUGAUGGAGGUUCGCUGGGGCUCAUAAACGUCUUUCCUCAGUGAAGACAGCUCUCUGAAC
rnacentral:misc_RNA from 2 species